UACGAAGGGGGCUAGCGUUGUUCGGAAUUACUGGGCGUAAAGCGCACGUAGGCGGGUUUGUAAGUAGGGGGUGAAAUCCCUGGGCUCAACCCAGGAACUGCCUUCUAGACUGCAAGCCUGGAGGUCAGGAGAGGCGAGUGGAAAUCCGAGUGUAGAGGUGAAAUUCGUAGAUAUUCGGAGGAACACCAGUGGCGAAGGCGGCUCGCUGGACUGAUACUGACGCUGAGGUGCGAAAGCGUGGGGAGCAAACAGG
rnacentral:rRNA from 1 species